GAUGAACGCUGGCGGCGUGCCUAAUACAUGCAAGUCGAGCGAACGGACGAGAAGCUUGCUUCUCUGAUGUUAGCGGCGGACGGGUGAGUAACACGUGGCUAACCUACCUAUAAGACUGGGAUAACUUCGGGAAACCGGAGCUAAUACCGGAUAAUAUUUUGAACCGCAUGGUUCAAAAGUGAAAGACGGUCUUGCUGUCACUUAUAGAUGGAUCCGCGCUGCAUUAGCUAGUUGGUAAGGUAACGGCUUACCAAGGCUACGAUGCAUAGCCGACCUGAGAGGGUGAUCGGCCACACUGGAACUGAGACACGGUCCAGACUCCUACGGGAGGCAGCAGUAGGGAAUCUUCCGCAAUGGGCGAAAGCCUGACGGAGCAACGCCGCGUGAGUGAUGAAGGUCUUCGGAUCGUAAAACUCUGUUAGUAGGGAAGAACAUAUGUGUAAGUAACUGUGCACAUCUUGACGGUACCUAAUCAGAAAGCCACGGCUAACUACGUG
rnacentral:rRNA from 1 species